rnacentral:rRNA from 1 species
GAAUCAGUACGCUGGUCGUGCCUUAGGUAUGCACUGGUGUCACUGGUUUCUCCCUUCUGACGAACCGUCAUGCCAUUAAUUUAGUGUGGCGGGAAAUCAGGACUGUUACUUUGAAAAAAUUAGAGUGUUUAAAGCAGGCGUUUGCUUGAAUACAUUAGCAUGGAAUAAUGGAAUAGGGCUGCUGCCCCAUUUUGUUGGUUUCUGGGACCGUAGCA